UACGGAAGGCAGCAGUGGGGAAUAUUGCACAAUGGGCGAAAGCCUGAUGCAGCUAUGCCGCGUGUAUGAAGAAGGCCUUAGGGUUGUAAAGUACUUUCAUCGGGGAGGAAAAAACAAAACUAAUAAUUUUAUUUCUUGACGUUACCCGAAAAAGAAGCACCGGCUAACUCCGUGCCAGCAGCCGCGGUAAUACGGAGGGUGCUAGCGUUAAUCAGAAUUACUGGGCGUAAAGAGCACGUAGGUGGUUUUUUUAAGUCAGAUGUGAAAUCCCUGGGCUUAACCUGGAACUGCAUUUUGAAACUGAAAUACUAGAGUAUCGUAGAGGGAGGUAGAAUUCUAGGUGUAGCGGUGAAAUGCGUAGAUAUCUGGAGGAAUACCUGUGGCGAAAGCGGCCUCCUAAACGAAUACUGACACUGAGGUGCGAAAGCUGGGGAGCAAACAGGGAUUAGAUACC
rnacentral:rRNA from 1 species